CAUCAAUGAUGAGAAAAAGCAGACGGGCGGUCUGAAUCUGAUGCUGUGUUGACUGUCUGCAGAAUUUUUCUGAGAUU
rnacentral:sRNA from 1 species